AUGUAUACGAAGAUUGGUGCCUCGGUGGAAGUUUCAUGGGAGAAUCGACUUUACAAGGGCCGUUACAUUCUGCCAAGGCCUAUGCAGCAAGGGCGUUUCCCCACCUGUGUGUUCUUUAGCUUCACCAAGGGAGGGCAGCUGGUGAUACAUCGGUCAUUUGCCGACAAGUACCAGAACCCGAAGAUUCAGUGUGAUAUCUUGCUGGAUCCUGAAUCAGUGGCUCGAGAGUUCGUGGUCAUGAAUGGCGGCCAACGGUGGGACUGGAAUUUCCUCCGUAAGGACAAGGAUCGUCUGGAUAGGCCAGCUGCAGCAGCAUAUCUCAUGACUGAGGUAGGAGCAGAUGGCGAGAGUUCAAGAUGGGAAGGCAAAAGGAAAGUAGCAGUGGAUAAAUGCACUUAUCUCGGUCAUAAGCCAAGCUUCGAUGAGGUGAAGUGUUUGCUUGACACUGGCAAGGCCGUGAUGGCGGGAAUGAUCUGCGGCCCUGAUUUCGAUGGACUUGGACCUGAUGAGAUUUAUUCCUGCUCACCACAGUAUGUGUGGAGAAAUGGCAAAAGGCGCCUAGCUGAGGGUUUCGAGAAGCACAUGAUUCUUCUGAUUGGCCACGCCAAACAUGAUGAAUCGGGGUCUAUCUACACGCCCUUCCUCAACUCUCAUGGUUGUUCAUUUGGAGGGGGAGGAAUUGGCCGUGUGUUCUUUGAUGAUCUGAGGUGCUUUUAUGUGAUGGAUACCAAAUACCCUCCCAAGAUCAUUGACAAGGAAUCUUCUCCUUCCAAGCUGAGAUUGGGUCAUGAUGAACAGAAAAGGGAUGCUGGUUUGGCCAAAACAGAGGAUGGGAAGGGAAGCGGCAAAUACGUUGUACCUGCUAGGCGUCAGUAG
rnacentral:rRNA from 1 species